rnacentral:rRNA from 1 species
UACGUAGGGUGCGAGCGUUGUCCGGAAUUAUUGGGCGUAAAGAGCUCGUAGGCGGUGUGUCGCGUCGGCCGUGAAAACCUGGGGCUCAACUCUGGGCGUGCGGUCGAUACGGGCAUCACUUGAGUUCGGCAGGGGAGACUGGAAUUCCUGGUGUAGCGGUGAAAUGCGCAGAUAUCAGGAGGAACACCGGUGGCGAAGGCGGGGUCUCUGGGCCGAUACUGAC